UGGGGAAUUGUUCGCAAUGGGCGCAAGCCUGACGACGCAACGCCGCGUGGAGGAUGAAGAUUUUCGGAUCGUAAACUCCUGUCGAAUGGGACGAAUGGCCCAGCCGUGAAUAUCGGCUGGGAGUGACGGUACCGUGAGAGGAAGCCCCGGCUAACUCCGUGCCAGCAGCCGCGGUAAUACGGGGGGGGCAAGCGUUGUUCGGAAUUACUGGGCGUAAAGGGCUCGUAGGUGGCCAUCUAAGUCAGACGUGAAAUCCCUCGGCUUAACCGGGGAACUGCGUCUGAUACUGGGCGGCUUGAAUUCGGGAGAGGGACGUGGAAUUCCAGGUGUAGCGGUGAAAUGCGUAGAUAUCUGGAGGAACACCGGUGGCGAAGGCGGCGUCCUGGACCGAUAUUGACACUGAGGAGCGAAAGCCAGGGGAGCAAACGGG
rnacentral:rRNA from 1 species